rnacentral:rRNA from 1 species
UACGUAGGGGGCAAGCGUUGUCCGGAUUUAUUAGGCGUAAAGAGCGUGUAGGCGGCCAGACAGGUCCGUUGUGAAAACUCGAGGCUCAACCUCGAGAUGUCGAUGGAAACCGUCUGGCUAGAGUCCGGAAGAGGAGUGUGGAAUUCCUGGUGUAGCGGUGAAAUGCGCAGAUAUCAGGAAGAACACCUAUGGCGAAGGCAGCACUCUGGGACGGUACUGACGCUGAGACGCGAAAGCGUGGGGAGCGAACAGG